rnacentral:rRNA from 1 species
CCCUACGGGGUGCCAUCGGCUCUGCCGUCUUCGAAAUCCAACUGAUGAGCGAACUCGUGGAAUACCACGUUGUGUCCGUCUUCAGGGUUGGUGGUCCCGUGGUGGACCGCGUCCCAGGCCAGCACGACUGCGCCGGAGUCCCAGGCCUCGCCCAGUCGGUGGUCUUGCGUCUCAUGAACAACGCCUGCCCCCAAAGGCCGCGUGGUCGUCACAAAGUAGGUGCUUGGAUAGACCAGGAUCGACCGCAGCCGGGGGUAAUAGUCCGUCUGGCGGUGCAACAGCAGCAGGCAAGCCUGCGCCGCGAUGCAAACCUUCAUCUCCUCGGUAACCUUGAGACCACCGCAACCCUCAAAGCGCUUCUCCGCGAGGAAAACCUGUAUAUGCCCUUGCAGUUCGGCGCGGUCCUCCAGGGAGAGC